rnacentral:lncRNA from 1 species
UUCUCUUCCCUUCUCUUCUCUCUUCUCUUCCUAUUUCCUUUCUUUUCUUUCUUUCUGAUAACUCUCUUUCUCUCUUACCUACUAUCUCUCUUUUUCUUCAUUCUUAUCCACUUCAUCUUUUCCUUCUACCACAUAAUAUUAUAUACAUAAUAUAUAAAUAUAUAAUAUAAUAUUAUGUAAUGGUACAAAAUAUUCUCAAGUGAUAUUUUU